rfam:Oryza punctata chromosome 7, whole genome shotgun sequence.
AAUAAGUGCAGUUUUACACUGUUCAUAUCCAACGUUUGAUCAUCCAUCUUAUUUUUGAAAAAAAUUUAUGAUUAGUAUUUUUUAGAUGAUAAAACAUGAAUAGUACUUUAUGUGUGACUAAUUUUUUUAAUUUUUUAUAAAUUUUCAAAUAAAACAGACGGUCAAACGUUGGACACAGAUAUCCACGACUAUGCUUAUU